rnacentral:rRNA from 1 species
AAUGAACGCUGGCGGCGUGCUUAACACAUGCAAGUCGUGCGCGAAGGUGGCUUCGGCUGCCGGAGAGCGGCGAACGGGUGAGUAACACGUGGGCAAUCUGCCUGGGGGUGUGGGAUAACCUGGGGAAACUCGGGCUAAUACCGCAUACGUUGCCGGGACCUUGGUCCUGUCAAGAAAGCUGGCCUCUGUUUACAAGCUAGCGCUCCCAGGAGGAGCCCGCGGCUGAUAGCUAGUUGGUGAGGUAACGGCCCACCAAGGCGACGAUCAGUAGCCGG